GACGAACGCUGGCGGCGUGCUUAACACAUGCAAGUCGAACGAAAAGGCCCUGCUUUUGUGGGGUUGUCGAAGGGCGAACUGGGGAGUAACACGUGAGUACGCUGCCCCUGACUUUGGGAUGACUUCAGGAAACUGGGGCUAAUACCGGCAAGGAGCUCCUGCUUCAGGGUGGGGGUGGGAAAGUUUCGGCGGUUGGGGAUGGACGCGCGGCCUACCAGCUUGUUGGGUGGGUAGUUGGUUAGCAAGGCUUUGCCGGGUAGCCGGCCUGGUAGGGUGACCGGCCACAUUGGGACGGAGGUACGGCCCAGACCCCUCCGGGAGGCAGCAGUGGGGGAUAUUGCACAAUGGGCGGAAGCCUGAUCCAGCAACGCCGCGUGGGGGAUGACGGCCUUCGGUUUGUAAUCCGCUUUCGCCUGUGCCGAAGCGUGAGUGACGGUAAUGGGUAAAGAAGCACCGGCUAACUACGUG
rnacentral:rRNA from 1 species